UGAAGGCUGAUCUUCUGUGUAAAUAUUCAUCCAGAGAAGAAGCUCAACUGGAUCAUCCGAGCUGGAGACCGUACAGGCCUACAGAGACACCAACAGGCCCCUGGUGAGAUCUCUGUGUCUCUUCCUCCAUCUAUGAUGCGUGAAAGAGCAGAGAGUGUCAAGAUGGUUAGAGGAGGAAAGACUCAGCCACAUAUGAGGAGCGUAACCAAAAUCGGCGACUGAAAGAUGUAUCAGCACGGUUGGUGAAGGAGCAGAACGUAUCAAGAUGAUCAGAGAAGGAAACAUCGGAGAGACUGUUUGAGCCUCAGUUAGACCCGGACUCGGAUCGAGUGUGAUGUGACCAAAAUCGACAAAUAUCAGACGUAUCAGAACGUCACAGAUGGUUGAGAGCAACCAGGGGCUUGUUCCGCGAUAGAGAGCCGUGCUGUUACACUGGAGCUGAUGGACCCACGAGGACUCAGGAUGCCGAUUGAUGUCUCUACUUAGUGCUGUUCGUUGUACCCAAACUCAUCUCUUUUGGGUUAGAUAGAGUUAUAUACUGCUGGAAUGUGCUGCUGAAGACAUUCAUCUUGUCGGAGCCAAGAGAAUUAAUGAAAUAUGUUUGGUUUUUUUGCUCGUGCACACUCAUUAUUCUCAUAUAAUGUCAGUGUUUUAAAAAAAUAAAAA